ACAUGCCUACAGCAUAGUGUUAAUGCAAUGGAUCCCAUUAGAACUUUGUAGUUAAGCAUGCUCGGGCUAGAAUAGCACUGGGAUGGGUGACCUCCCAAGAAGUCUUAGUAUUUUACAUGCC
rnacentral:rRNA from 1 species